AUUUUUAAAAAUUUUAAUCAAAUACAACACCCAAACCGUUUUGAAAUCUCCACCAACCAAAUUCACGCUUAUUUUACCUAAAAUAAAAACGCUCCUCCUCCUCCUCCUCCUCGACUCACAGCCGUCCUCCCGUACACCGCCGUUACGACUGAAUUCAUCCUCUACGGCUAGCCCAUUCCCACCGCCGUCAACCAGCACCACCAACGCCGUCCACCACCGUAGCUCUCACUGGUAUCCCCUCCUCUGUCUAUGUACACCGCCGUCACAGCUGUCGUCAUCCACCAGCGCGGGCCGAUCCGUCACUGCCAUCAAUCUGAACCACCACCGGCUCCCUCAUUCACCACCGUACUUUUCACAGCAUGGGGGAGCUAGAAGUUGAAAAGCAUGCUAACUAUAUUUUAUCAGUAGAAAAGAAGAAGGAUGAUUUUGAAUCUGUGGUGAUGGAACAUCUACGAAUCAAUGGAGCAUAUUGGGGGCUGAGCACUCUGGAUCUUUUGGGAAAAAUUGAUGAAGUGAACUCUGAGGAGGUUGUUUCAUGGGUCAUGAUGUGCCAACAUGAAUCUGGUGGAUUUGGUGGUAAUAUUGGACAUGACCCACAUCUACUGUAUACCCUCAGUGCCAUUCAAGUUUUAGCACUUUUUGACAAGACAAAUAUACUUGACAUUGAUAAGGUGUCAAACUAUAUCGCUGGGCUGCAGAAUGAAGAUGGGUCCUUUUCAGGUGACAUGUGGGGUGAAGUUGAUACACGGUUCUCUUAUAUUGCAAUUUGCUCUCUUGCCCUGUUGCAUCAUUUGGAUAAAAUUAAUGUGGACAAAGCUGUAAAGUACAUUGUCAGUUGCAAGAAUCUGGAUGGUGGAUUUGGAUGCACACCUGGUGCAGAAUCUCAUGCAGGACAAAUUUUUUGUUGUGUGGGUGCUCUUGCAAUAACCGGUUCUCUACAUCAUAUUGAUAAGAACCUCCUUGGGUGGUGGUUAUGUGAGCGACAAGUUAAAUCUGGAGGUCUUAAUGGGCGUCCUGAGAAGCUUCCUGAUGUCUGCUACUCAUGGUGGAUCCUUUCUAGCUUGAUCAUCAUUGACAGAGUUCAUUGGAUUGACAAGGAAAAGCUUGUUAAAUAUAUCUUGGACUGUCAGGAUAAGGAGAAGGGAGGUAUUUCGGAUAGGCCAGAUGAUGCUGUUGAUGUCUUUCAUACAUAUUUUGGAGUUGCUGUUCAGGUUCAUAGUUAACCUGUCACCCGAACCGACUAUAUCCGGUGGAAGAUUUGGUUACCCGCAUUCGACCAAAAUAAGAUUCAAAAUUGACCGAAUCAGCUGACCAUUGGCUUCUUUGAAACCAUCCGUUUAUGUUUUUUUGGGUUCAGAUCGGUCGGUUUGGGCGGGUGAUUCAGGUCUUUCACUUCUUGAAUAUCCAGGAUUGAAAGCCAUAGAUCCUGCUUAUGCUGUGCCAGUUGAUGUUGUAAAUAGGAUUUUCUUUGGCAGAUGACCUAGUUGAUAGACUAUUUAUAUCAAUAUACUGACAGUGCUUAAAUUGCUUAUUAUUAUUAUUAUUUGUUGUGUUAAAAUUGCGAAAACAUUUUACAUGAAAAUAUUGCACAAGCUUAGUUGAUUUUUCACUGCCCUUGAAUUGGGAGUUCAUUUUCUAGCCCCCUAGGCCAAAGGAGAUUUCACUCAGUAAUUUAUAAAUGCAUGGCAACUAGCCCAGGGAAUGCAUAUAGAGGAUGCCGUCGGAUUACGAGGAGAUGAUAUUUUGUCAGAUAGAUGGGGACGACAUCAGUAGCUACAGACAAUCCAGUGCACGUAAAAUGUAAAAGUGAACAAUGUUUACCCAAAUAUUUUGUAAUAUUGUAAUGGAUGUAUUCACUUGCAUCAGAUGGAAAGUUUGGCAGGGAAGAAGUUGAAUAUGUUGCUCUCCAAAAGUUUUAUGCUCA